rnacentral:rRNA from 1 species
CAGCAGCCGCGGUAAUACAGAGGGUGCGAGCGUUAAUCGGAUUUACUGGGCGUAAAGCGCGCGUAGGUGGUUUGGUAAGAUGGAUGUGAAAUCCCCGGGCUCAACCUGGGAACUGCAUCCAUAACUGCCUGACUAGAGUACGGUAGAGGGUGGUGGAAUUUCCUGUGUAGCGGUGAAAUGCGUAGAUAUAGGAAGGAACACCAGUGGCGAAGGCGACCACCUGGACUGAUACUGACACUGAGGUGCGAAAGCGUGGGGAGCAAACAGGAUUAGAUACCCGUGUAGUCCCUGUCUCUUAUAC